UACAACUUUCAACAACGGAUCUCUUGGCUCUCGCAUCGAUGAAGAACGCAGCGAAAUGCGAUAAGUAAUGUGAAUUGCAGAAUUCAGUGAAUCAUCGAAUCUUUGAACGCACCUUGCGCCCCUUGGUAUUCCGAGGGGCAUGCCUGUUUGAGUGUCAUG
rnacentral:rRNA from 1 species